UGGAAGGCCAUACCUUAGGAAGCUGAAAUUGCUGGCAGCUGCAGAAAGCAGUGGGUGGCAGGUGUUCCCGCACGCCCUUUGGGGAGGAAAAGGGCUACAUUUCAGAGGCUUAUAUGCGCUAAUAUACAAAUGGCUUCUAAAUAAUAAAAGCUAAAGCCAUUGCUGAAUGAAGAUCCUCUGUUCUUCCACAUUUUGCAAGGACUGGGAUGUUUGUUUGUGGAAAUGAGACAAGAUGGCUGGCUCACUGACAGUUUAGGUGAGAGAACGGCAAGCCAGAGCCAUCUGUUUUGUUACCUCACCACGAGAAAACAGGACACUCUCUUAUGAGAACACUCACUACUUGAUAUGCCCUAAGAUGAACACAAAUCUUUUAAGGGGCUUCAUGUGGAGUUAGACAAUAGACUUCACUGUGUUCUCGGACAAUCUAGUAUAACUCACUUACAGAGUAAAUUCGCUCAGGCUUAUACACAAAUGGGCUUCUCAGGGAAACGGCAACAUCAGACAUGCAGAGGAAUAUUUAAAGGACCAAUGUUUCUAAAUUACAGGAAUUCCAUAUUCCAAUACUGCAAAGUGUACAAUUAUCUGUAUGACACCGAAAAAGAAGCAGUACAGCUUAGUGGGAAGAGCACGGACUUGGACGUAGUGACUUCUCAGCCAGUAUAGACAAAGAGUUGACCCUGGAUGACUCUAGUGAGUCCCGAAUCAAAUGGCUUGGCUUUUAUCAAACCCCCUCUGGGAGAAAUGACUCCAGUAUUGAUGGGGACAUCCCAACCCAGGCUUCACCCUGAUCUGCAUAUGGCCUGGGCUUCAGCUGUGAGAGUUGUGGUGGGACGCCAUCAUGCUCUAACUCUGAAGUUCUUAGAAGAUGCUCAGGCUUUUGCUAUAGAAAAACAAAGGAAGAAUGGGUACAGUGAGCCAGACUCUGGUUUGUGCUGUGAAUCCUGUUGAUGAAUCUGCAUGGAGAAAGUCAAAGUGAACCAUAUUGCUCAUUAGCAAGUCAGAAUGCCUGACUCAUGCUGAGCACAGGAGGACAACUGAGGAAUGAGACCCUGGCUGAAGGGCCCAUCAUGGUGUCAUCUUUUCCUUUGUUGGAGGCCUGAUGGUAUCAACUCUCUCUCCAUGCUCGCCCACCAUGUGUGUGGUGUCUGUCAAUGCAGGUAUCACAGAUCACUGAUGAAGAGGUGUGUGUGUGGAGGCAGAAGUCUAGAGAGAUCAUCUGAGCCAAUUAGGGAGGAGUAUUUCCCCUGGAAUGAUCCUUCAACAUCCAUGUGAAUUUUUGGCGAAGUCUCCUUGGUCAUGCUGAAGACUUCCCAUGCUGAAGACAUGACUUUGGGGCAGUUUGCAGGACUACCUGGCAUGUACCACAUGUGUUGGGUUUUCUUCAUUCCCCAUUUUGUUUUGCUUUGCUUUCCAAUAUCAAAGCACUCUAAGCUACUAGACAUAGCUUCUAUCCAAUGACUUCAGAUGAACAAUUUCCAGAUGUGCUAUUUGUAGUCUGGCCAAAAUUUAAUAGUUGUAGAGCAAAGAUACAAAGGUCCCCAGUCCCUAGAGGCACUAUAGCAUCACAGUGUAGACUGCAAGCCCGGGAGCCAGACUGCCUGGGAUUGAAUCCUGGCUCUACCACUUGGGUAAGCUAUUGAACUUCUUUGCUCCUCAGUUUUCUCAUCAAUAAAACAGUGAUAAUGAUAGUACCUAACUCACAGGGAUGUUGUGAGGAUUAAAUUAAUUAAUUGUCUUUUUUUUACAAGAGGGUUUGUAGACUAUGUGCCUGCCAAGUGGUAAGUGCGUGAUAAAUGGUAAGCAUUCUUAUGAUUCAAGAAUCCUGUUGGCCACUUCAACAGGACCUCACAGGGUGGGAGUAAGUGGAUGAAUGGGCCUUGAGUAUCAUGGAGAUGCUCAGCUUUAUAGAUCUAGAAAUGUGAUCACCUCAGUGCAAUCAGUUAAGAGGGCACAGGAGAUUGGCCCAUAUAGACUAAACUCUCAAACUCACAAAAGGGUUUAUUGCCCUAUACCAAUGCGUUUAUUUACAGUAAGAUUUAGAACAGGCAAGGGGGCCACCCAGACAUUCAUGUCAGCAUGUCAGUGUACCCUUCCCUAGUAUGAAAAUCUACACGGGAAAUCAAGUUUUAAUUUGAAGGUUGCUUGGUGAGCAUGGAAGUAGAACUUGGUAAACUCAAGCUGUGCGGAUUUAACGUAGUCAUUCCCAAUACAGGAAGAGAAUAUCGCGUAUUUACCUGCAAAAGGGACUGAAACUUCCAGUCCUCUGGUCAGGAAACUCCCUCUUGUGAACACAGCUAACAAAUUCAAACUUAUUUUCUUUUCUCUGGUGCCACACAGAGCAUUCCAUUGUGAUAAUAUACUUUCUUUGGGAUUGUGGAGACUAAAAAGGGGGCAGGGUCAAAGCUUUAGAUAUGCUAAUACAGCAGUUACUUCUGGAACUAUAUUUGAGUCAGGCCCUGGGUAUAUCUGAAAGUUUUUAGACAUUUCGUCUUCAGAUGAGUUUCUUUCACACUGACCUAGGGGAGAGUGGAAUUUCCGGCCCACUGAAUGAGGAAGUGACGCGUUCGAUGCCUAAUAGGAUGGAGGAAUUUGUGUUUACCUGAACUCUUUUAAAGGAAAGCCCUUCGUGGAGUUGAAGAAUCUUUUAUGAGCCACUUGAUGGCAGUGGGGGUGGGGGAC
rnacentral:lncRNA from 1 species